AGGUAUAUAUGUGAUGAAAUCUAGGUUAACCUCAAUGUGUGAUCCAGGGAGCUUCCACAUGACAGGAAGAUUUCCUUUGAUUAAAGUAUGUUAAAAAGUCAUGAUUGCCAGGAAGAAAACUUCAUAGAUAUUCUCAACACCCUCCCCCUGCCUCACAGGAAGCCUUAGUGGAAUCUUGAAAUUGCAGUGAGCGAUGGAGUUACCAAGGAACGUAAGAAGUCCUCUGAUUGAAGGGAACUGGUUUCCAUGAAAGUAUGUAACAGCAGGACCUGAAUUAGAUGGACUUUCAGGAAAGGCAUUACUGGGGAAAUGAUCCCAGAGCUAAGAAAGAGGGG